GCAGCCGCCGCAGGGAAGGACCAUGUCCGCCGGCGUCACAAACCGGGGCCAGUCGUCCCUCGAGGCCACCUCGCCGCAGCCCCCUCCUCGCCUGCCCCCGCGCCGCGCCGCCCCCCUGUUGCGCUGGGACGAAGUGCCCGACGAUUUCGUGGAGUGCUUCAUCCUGUCGGGCUACCGGCGGCUGCACUGUACGGCUCAGGAGUGCCUGGCGUCGGUGCUGCAGCCCACCAACGAGACGCUCAACUUCUGGACGCACUUCAUUCCCUUGCUGCUCUUCGCCAGCAAGUUCUGCCGCCUGCUGCUGCUGCGCGGCGCCGGCGACCUGCCCUUCCACCACCCCUUCUUGCUGCCGCUGUGGUGCUACGCGUCCGGCGUGCUGCUCACCUUUGCCAUGAGCUGCACCGCCCAUGUGUUUAGCUGCCUCUCGCUGCGCCUGCGCGCUGCCUUCUUCUACCUGGACUACGCCUCCAUCAGCUACUACGGCUUCGGCAGCACAGUGGCUUAUUACUACUAUCUGCUGCCCGGGCUGAGCCUGCUGGAGCCGCGCGCGCUCGGCCGCUACUUGCAGCAGCGCCUGGGUUGGCACGUGGACUGCAGCGCGCCCAUCGCCUUCUACAGCGCGCUGCUGCUGCCCGUGGCUUUCUUGCUGGCCGUGGCCUGCACCGUGGCCUGCUGCAAGAGCCGCUCCGAGUGGUGCGCCUACCCCUUCGCCAUCCGCACCUUCGUCUUCGCCAUGCCGCUCAGUAUGGCCUGCCCCAUCAUGCUGGAGAGCCUCCUCUUCGACCUCAAGGGCCACAACCCCACCCUCUUUGUCUAUUUCUACCGCCGCUACUUCUGGCUCCUGGUGGCUGCCUUCUUUAACGUCAGCAAGAUCCCCGAGCGGAUCCAGCCGGGGCUCUUCGACAUCAUCGGCCACAGCCACCAGCUCUUCCACAUCUUCACCUUCCUCAGCAUCUACGACCAAAUGUUCUACGUCGAGGAAGGGCUGCUGCACUUUCUCGAAGAUCCUCCGUCGGCCUCGCCCACUUUCAUGGGCACUGUGGGCUACAUGCUGCUUUUGAUACUGUGCCUAGCCUUGGUCAUCAAGAGAUUUUUAAACGUCCCGGAGUUCUGCAAGCAAGAUUGAGGUAUCCUUUUGCUACGGUUUCCUUUGAGGGUAUUCGUUAAUCGCAGCUGAGUUUUACAGGCUGCUGCAGAGGCCGGCACAAAGAAGCCUGAUACUUGCCAGGGCAGAUCCUACCGGGAGCACUGAAUUCGUUCACCGCGCACUGAACUCCUAACAAACUGGUUCUCUUGAAACGUGCUAAGGUUUUAAGGAAAGGCAAUCAAACCACAGUAGUGUACACGACUUUUUCUAUUAUUGCUGCUUAGGAUACAAAUAGAAGCCAUUUAGGACUACUGCUUGAAUUCCCGCAGUGUGAUCCUCCCUUCCAUUAUUUGAAAGUAAGCCUUGGUGACUUGCUUCCAACUAAUGCACUAAAGGUCAGGAUUAAACAAUAUGCAUGGAUUGUGCAAAUGCUAGCUUCUGAUUUCAGACUAAGAGAUGUUGUUUCAAUUAGCAAUAUAUACUAGACUUGCACUGAUGAACCAUGAAGAUUUAAAACCGGAUCCCAUGUGCAAUCUCUCAGCAUACUGUGAACUAAAAGAUAUAUUUGAUGUUCAUUCACUGUAACAGCAUCUUGAAGUCAUAUGCACUGAAUUUUCAGCACAAACAGAAAAAAAUUAUUUUUGAACUAACAGCGUUUGAUGCUUCUAUAUAAAGAUUUUAUUUUAUAGCACCUGUGAAUUGUAUCAGGGGCUGCUGGUCAAACCAUGAGAACAAAUGUUAGGAAACGUUAGGAACAAGAUCCACUAGACCAUGGCCACACAGCCCGGAAAACCCACCAGAACCAUGUGAGAACAAAGUUUAAGCAGAUUAUGAUGCACCUUCCUGAACCCAAAAAAUAUAACACCUCUGUCUUGGAACACUGGUUCUAAUACUUCAUUUCAAAGUAUACAUGUGCCAGUUAAGCAAAACAAGGAAGUGAGAGAAGAGGUGGAAUCAAAUAGAUGUACAGGCCUUGACAGGAAGAUCACUAUUCAGAUUAAAGUUGGUAUGUUCAUGUUGGCUUUUGCAUUUCACCUUUGGGGUCUUAUUUAAUGAUUUGGGACAGGAGAAAAACUUCUUAUUUUCCAUUUUAUGAAUGUAGUUAGGAUCACAUGGUUGCCUCAGCACAGUGUUCAGUGUUACUUAGGCUGAGCUCUCAAAAUGUUGCGCUAGCACAAGCCACCAUCAGCAGUACUUCGGAAAAAAUGAGAUGAAGUUUUCUUGACUUUGAAAGGAUGCUGAUUUUUAAAAAACAAAAAGGCCUCUGGAGGUGAUGGGUAGAAAUGGCCACCUUCAGGACAGGGUCGCUGUGUAGGCAGAAAAAUCCAAACUUUCCCACCCCCACAGCAACCAUCUUUUCUGCAGUCUUUGCCAAAACUUCACAGCAAAGCUGGUUUGAGAAAGAUCAGAGCAAAGCCAGGCAAAUCUCAGGAAAUACGCAGAUGCAUAUCAGUGCUGGGGUAAGCAGGACACCCAUCCACCCCGCUAACCAUCAGCAUUGAACUUGGGCAGAUAACCCAUGUGGAAUGGCCAUAUUCUACAUAUGUACAUUGUAUACCAAUGUAGAAUUCAGCUAUGCAGAGUUACUCAAGUAUAAGAUCUUUUAUUUCAAGGAACAAUGUACAUAGGAGUAACUCCACAUAGAACUGUGCUAUAGGUUUUCUAAAAAUAAAUAUUGUUGUUUGAGUGUAAUGCAGAUAUGUCAACAUAAUUGUUUUAAUGAUGUACCCCAGAUGACUCACAGGCCUUCAAAAUAAAUAAUUUAUUUGAAAUAUUUCUUCAGGAGAUGCCAUUAGGACAUCCAGUCAGCAAUUAAAAAUUGCAUGAGAAAUAUGAAAAGAGAAGGAGUUAUUGCUCUCAGCAGUAGAAAAAAAGGUUAAGACCCCAAGCUAAAUGUAAAGAGGGUCUAUAAAGAGGAUUAUUUUUGAAGGGGGGUGGUUUCUGCUUAGCAGUUCAAUGUAAGGGGCAUCUAACUAUUCAAUGUCAGGCCAUGGCAAACUGUAAAAAUACAUUUGAUAUUUGGAUCAUGUGAUGCUUUCUAUAUUUAUCUCAGUUACAAAUAAAAGCUUAUGGUGCUGAUUUGGUGCUAGCUAUCCUUACAGCCAUUGCUUUUCCACCUCCAGCCUUACUGAUUCUUUGCUCAGUCACGUAUUCAAGGCAUUGCUUCUUGCUGAGUAUAUUCCUUGCUAAGAGUCUCAAGCCCAUGUAGGAAACCAGUUGGGAUUGCUUCUUGCAGUCUAGCUUUAUAUUUUACUGGGUUUAUCACACGGUAAACAGACCCAGCUGAUUUAUUCUUUUUAAUAGAACUUUUUUUAAAAGGGGAAACAUUUGUUACUUGCAUGUAACAGCAACUGUCACAUUUCUCUGCAGGAUUUUUGCUAGCAAAUAUUUGAAUGUUUAUUUGUAGAGUAUUAAGGGGCACACAUGUACUGCGCCAGAAUGAUUUGCUAUUUUGAUGACCACUUACCUAUAAAUACAGAUGAAAAACAGGAACAACACAUCUAUAAUAUAGAGCUGCAGAGUUGUUGUUUUUAUUUCCCUCCAUGGCAAAAUCUUGCUGAAUUCUCUUGCAGGCUGAGCCAGCCCCUGGAUUUGAAGCUUGCAGGAUAAAAUUAAGUUUCUCUGCUGGCAAAUGCAAAAUCUAAAUAGUCACUGUGCCCUUGAGCAACUUUCUAAAUUUUUGCAGUGCUUUGAAUACAAGUAUUGUGGAUUAUUCUGCAAACUUUCUGUAACAUGUCUGGAGGUGCCACCUCUUCCAUGAAGCACAUGAGGAGUAGGAAGAUGUUGUUCAUUUAUGUAUGCCAGUUUUUUCAGGUAUAUUGUCCAAAAUCGGCCGCUGUUUAGUAGCAAAAUAACUACCGGUAGUUAACUAAGGCAGCAAAAUAUGCGGCCAUUGUUGUUUUUUUAAAUAACCCUUUUGUGCAACAGGAUUCUUUAAUAAGGCUGUAGAGAUCAGCACCAUUGCCUGUGAACUGAACAUAAUAACACAAAAGCUUUAUUCACAAUCUGUAUGCAGUGAACGCAUAUUUUUUGUUUGUGUUGAAUAAUUCUCAUGUUAUAGUCCAUGCAUGUACAUCUGAAUGUGUGAUAAAUCCAAUAUUUAUACAGGUACUCUUCCCCUGUUUCUUUAGUAAAGUAAAUGGGCAUUGGCUCUUUCUUAUGAACAGAUGUACACAGCACUGUCUGUAACAUAUUGUGAAGAAAUAACAUUUCCCAAAUGAGGUUUGAAGGGAACUUUUAACCAUUUCUUUUCUGGGCAGGAGAAAAAGAGGAUGUCAGCUCAGUUGCUUUCCAGCCUCACCACGACCACUUCUUUGAGAAAUGCUAAUAGAAGUAGCAAGAGACACUAGGAUGGGUCAAGCUUCCCCCCACCCCUCCCAAGCAGGGAUCAGAGAUUUUGAGGUUCUAAAAAGCUAAAAAGGACAUUAGGGAAAAAAACUUCUGGAGGAUCCAGGAAAAGGUUUUUUGACCCAGGCUGACCUUGUCAGUGGGUGGAGAAAGGGAAUGAAUAGAACUCCUGGCAGUCAAGAGGAAGUUGGGACUCUCAGGCGCUUUCAGUAGAAUUUACUUCCAAGUAAAUGAGUUUAGGAUUAUCUCUAAAAUUGUAAGCAAGGAAUUAAUAUAAGGCUAACAAUACAAAAUCUAGGAAUAACAGCAAAAACGUGAAUGCAUAGAAUUUGUAGAAAUAGAUUAAUUUAUUUUUAGUUCAGUACAUUUUCAUCAGGUUCUAGCCUAAUAAGCCAAUAAAAAUGUGCUGUUCAUUCUCUGUAUUUGAAUAAAGUCCAUGUCAUUAUCUCUAAUAGGCAUUACUGAAAGGUAAAGUUCAUGUUGAAUAUAACAUAAUUUGAUUGCUGCCUAGUGCCCAUUACUGCCUAGUGCCUAAUGCCUUACAAUCAUUUUAUCAUACAUACAGUAAUUUCCCAUAUACCUACAUAUAUGUACACUGUAUGUUUGGAGUUCUGAUUUGAAAGUACAUGGUCACUGAAUUCUACUUCUGAUUUGGCAUUUAGAAGUUGGUAAGGUCACAGAUAGGUUAUUCAGGCAUUCUUGUUGGGAAAUACUUGUCAUAAUACCUUUAUUCUAAAAAGGCAUGAUCUAAUCUGACCAAGAUGGAGAACCUCUACUUGGAGAAUUCCUGUAGGCUCAGUGAAGUGCUGUUUCCAUACCUAUAUAUGCACAGGUAGCACAACUAGUCACUAGAGAAAAUGGAAUGCAUGCAUGAAUGGCGAUUUGGGAGGUUCUGGAGAACUGGAGUAAAAGUUAUAAGAAAACAACUUUAUUUGUGGUAGACUGAUAUACCUGGUCCUAUUUACCCAUGUCAGAGUACAAUUAGUAGCAUUUUGGGACAUGUCUAAUUCUGAUUUGGUAAUUUUAAAGGAUUUUUAAAAGUAAUUUCAAAGAAUUCUUUUCAAAGUAGUAGCAGUGAACAUACCAACACAUGUCAGGAAAAUACUUCAAAGACAUUAUUUUCCAGCUCACAUAAUCUUUUAUUAAAAAAUAUCUUGUCUGAAUUGUAUAAACAAGGAGUCUUGAUGAUUGCAAAAAAAAAUUGUUUUCUUUGGAGAGUGUUUUAAUAGUGGUGUUAAUAAGAACUGGGGAGAUUUGAAGGGCAUUCUGCAUAACAACCAAAGAAUCAGAAGAAUGUGGAUUUAAACUAGCUGAUUAUCAUUAAUGUUAAGGCUGUAAGCAUUUUGAGAUGUGACUCUUCAGAAGAUAAAGUGCUAACAUGAAUCAAUCUAGGGGAUCAGGUAUAGAGCAAAGUUUACGUUUUAAGAAAAUUUAUUUUAUACGCAGAUAUUCUGUAAAUAUUGAUGUCUAAAGCAUCAGUAGUGACCCUGCAGUUAAUUAAGUUUUAAAAAAGAGAAAUGCUGCAGACUUUUUCCUAUAUGCUUGGAUAAAACACAGUCCUUUGGGAAUUUAUCUUCUUCAAGCCCCAAUAAAAUGAAUGAAGGUUCCUGUGGGACCUGCACAUGUUGCAACAUGUUAAAUGAGAGCGAUAGUCAGCCAUGUAUAAAUGCACUCAUUCUUAACGGCAGGAAACUCAGUGUUUAAAGCAGAACACUUCGCUACAAACAGCAUAUUUCUAUCUCCAGGGACAGGCUUGAAAUGCUUGUUGUUCCACUGGUUUAAUUUGCUUUGAACAGGUUUGAGAUAUCAUGCAAAGGGAGAAAAAUGUGUCUUUUGUGGGGAGAGCUACAUCUGCUCCUUGUACAGGUAGAGUUUCUUUGUGAGAGAAAUAUAGGCAUUCCCCCUUCACAUAAUACUGGAAGCAUGGAAAGGAUAUGUCCAAGGAAUUUGCUGUACAUCCUCUUAUUUCUGCUUCAAGGUAUUGUACAAAAGGUGUUGAAAAACUGCUUCUGAUGCAUCUGGCAACCUUAUUUACUUCUGAUCUCAAGAUAUGUUGAGAGAGUAUGACUGGCCUAAGGUCACUUACUGAAUUUCAUGACAGAAUGGGAACUGAAUCAAGGUGUCCACAAUCUGCAUCCAACACAUCUAGCUAGAUUUGAAUCCAGUAGCACCUGGGGACCAACACGAUUUUCAGAGUAGAAAUUUUGGAGAGGUCCUUUUGUUCAGUAAAGUAUGCUGGCUCAUUUUCCAUGAUAUUUACCAAGGAUUUUGGACUUUAUGUCCUCCGUCUCUUAUCAUCAUUUGCCUCAUAUCAGGGUAGCAAAAAAUGGAAGUAAAAGAUUAUUCCCAAAAUGUGGACUGAAGAUGUUUUCUCUGACUCUUGUUAAGACUGGAAAGGUGAAAUGAGUUUCACUGAGCCAUUUUCAGACACCUUAUUGAAUGGAUGCCAUGGGAUCUGCUUCCAGGUUUCUUAGGGUAACUGCUUCAAUGAGGUCAUCAUUUUUCAUCCUCUGUCUUCAGUGUUGCUGUUCUCCUCUUUUCUUUUUCUGGCCAUCUUUGAAUCUUGUAAGGAGGAGAAAUGAUUAUAUAUGUCCUCCUAAUUUCUCCUGAUUUCCAUGGGGUUCUUUUCUUACGGAAGCAGUGUUGAAAUGGAUUUCCAGAGAAGGAGUUCAAUUGUUUGGGGGUCUCUAUGAAACAUCCCAUCAAUGAGUACAUACUGUAUGGCUUGCUGUUGCAGUUGGAUAUUUAUUGUAUAGCAGUAUGCAAAGACCGAACAUUUUUAGGGGUAUAAUUCUAUGUGCUAUUGUGUUGAUCACAUGCUUGUCAUUGUUAUUUUUUUUUAAUUCCACAAAUGAAACCAAAAAAGCAAUGUAAACACUUCAAAAUUUGCUUCUUUUUUUUAAGGAUUUGUUCUUUGGAAAAUCUUGGUUGCUAAUUUUACUGUACAAAUAAAUACUGUAUUUUUUGACAGGAAAGUAAACAGGUUUCAAAUAAAAUUGUUUCUGAAA